GCAAGUCGAGCGGUAGCACAGGGAGCUUGCUCCUGGGUGACGAGCGGCGGACGGGUGAGUAAUGUCUGGGAAACUGCCCGAUGGAGGGGGAUAACUACUGGAAACGGUAGCUAAUACCGCAUAACGUCUUCGGACCAAAGUGGGGGACCUUCGGGCCUCACACCAUCGGAUGUGCCCAGAUGGGAUUAGCUAGUAGGUGGGGUAACGGCUCACCUAGGCGACGAUCCCUAGCUGGUCUGAGAGGAUGACCAGCCACACUGGAACUGAGACACGGUCCAGACUCCUACGGGAGGCAGCAGUGGGGAAUAUUGCACAAUGGGCGCAAGCCUGAUGCAGCCAUGCCGCGUGUGUGAAGAAGGCCUUCGGGUUGUAAAGCACUUUCAGCGAGGAGGAAGGGUGCAGUGUUAAUAGCGCUGUUCAUUGACGUUACUCGCAGAAGAAGCACCGGCUAACUCCGUGCCAGCAGCCGCGGUAAUACGGAGGGUGCAAGCGUUAAUCGGAAUUACUGGGCGUAAAGCGCACGCAGGCGGUUUGUUAAGUCAGAUGUGAAAUCCCCGCGCUUAACGUGGGAACUGCAUUUGAAACUGGCAAGCUAGAGUCUUGUAGAGGGGGGUAGAAUUCCAGGUGUAGCGGUGAAAUGCGUAGAGAUCUGGAGGAAUACCGGUGGCGAAGGCGGCCCCCUGGACAAAGACUGACGCUCAGGUGCGAAAGCGUGGG
rnacentral:rRNA from 1 species